rnacentral:rRNA from 1 species
CAGCCGCCGCGGUAAAACGUAGGUGGCAAGCGUUGUCCGGAAUUAUUGGGCGUAAAGCGCGCGCAGGUGGUUUAAUAAGUCUGAUGUGAAAGCCCACGGCUCAACCGUGGAGGGUCAUUGGAAACUGUUAAACUUGAGUGCAGGAGAGAGAAGUGGAAUUCCUAGUGUAGCGGUGAAAUGCGUAGGGAUUAGGAGGAGCACCAGUGGCGAAGGCGGCUUUUUGGCCUGUAACUGACACUGAGGCGCGAAAGCGUGGGGAGCAAACAGGAUUAGAUACCCCUGUAGUCCCUGUCUCUUAUAC